CAGUAAGUCUGUCUUAUGUGCGCCGUUGCGUUCGUUACUAUAGCAAAAGUAGAUCAAACAAAUCAAACAAUCAUUGU